CACGUAGGGGGCAAGCGUUGUCCGGAUUUAUUGGGCGUAAAGAGCGCGUAGGCGGUGUGUCGCGUCGGCCGUGAAAACCUGCAGCUUAACUGUGGGCUUGCGGUCGAUACGGGCAUCACUGGAGUUCGGCAGGGGAGACUGGAAUUCCUGGUGUAGCGGUGAAAUGCGCAGAUAUCAGGAGGAACACCGGUGGCGAAGGCGGGUCUCUGGGCCGAUACUGACGCUGAGGAGCGAAAGCGUGGGGAGCGAACAGG
rnacentral:rRNA from 1 species